rnacentral:ribozyme from 14 species
AGUGAAAAUUAUAUGUACAGAACAACUGUAGAAAAUGAAUGUGUGCUGAUAUGGAUAAUAUCAUUCUAUGUGUUGUAUGUAUGUAUGUAUUUUUUUUUUUUUUUUUUU